rnacentral:rRNA from 1 species
GAUGAACGCUGGCGGGAUGCUUUACACAUGCAAGUCGAACGGUAGCACGAAGAAAGCUUGCUUUCUUUGGUGACGAGUGGCGAACGGGUGAGUAAUGUAUCGGAACGUACCCAGUAGCGGGGGAUAACUACGCGAAAGCGUGGCUAAUACCGCAUACGCCCUACGGGGGAAAGGGGGGGAUCGCAAGACCUCUCACUAUUGGAGCGGCCGAUAUCGGAUUAGCUAGUUGGUGGGGUAAAGGCCCACCAAGGCGACGAUCCGUAGCUGGUUUGAGAGGACGACCAGCCACACUGGGACUGAGACACGGCCCAGACUCCUACGGGAGGCAGCAGUGGGGAAUUUUGGACAAUGGGGGCAACCCUGAUCCAGCCAUCCCGCGUGUGCGAUGAAGGCCUUCGGGUUGUAAAGCACUUUUGGCAGAGAAGAAACGACUCUGGAUAAUACCCGGGGUUAAUGACGGUAUCUGCAGAAUAAGCACCGGCUAACUACGUGCCAGCCGCCGCCGUAA